CCUCUGCCUCUGAGAUCUCUGAUCUCCUACUUUCAAUGCUUGCCGGGUUCUGGGAGGGGGGGUCUGGAUAGACACUGUGUCCACCAGCCGCCCCAUCCCCCCAGUGCUUCUUCUUCCUCCUCCUCUCCCAUUAUUUCACAGCUUUCCCCCUCAUCUGCCUCUGAGCUGUGAUCUCCCUCAAACCCCUGUUGUAAUUCUGAACUGUCUUCUACUUCUCUGGAAGGGUCAGGCUGGGCAGGUGGUCUCCACCAUUCCUCCUCUGUCCAGUCCCUGACAAUUAGGAAGGAAUUUCUGGCAGUAAGAAGUGUUUGACAGUGAAACAGACUAAUAAUAACUAGCUAACUAACUAACUAACUAACUAACUAACUAAAUAUUUGUAUGCCACUCAUCCGACUGGGUUAAAAAAUUCCUUGUACAGGGCUGCCUUCAGAUGUCUUCUGAAAGUCUAAUAGUUGUUUAUUUCCUUGACAUCUGAUGGGAGGGUGUUCCACAGGGCGGGCGCCACCACCGAGAAGGCCCUCUGCCUGGUUCCCUGUAGCUUUACGUUUCGCAGUGAGGGAGCCACCAGAAGGCCCUCAGAGCUGGAUCUCAGUAUCAGGGCUGAACAAUGAGGGUGGAGACGCUCCAAGGCCAUUUAGGGCUUUGAAGGUCAACACCAACACUUUGAAUUGUUGGUUUGAAUUGCUACCUUGGAAGGUGGUGGGCUCUCCUUCAUUGGAUGUUUUUAACAGGGGUUGGAUAGCCAUAUUUCAUGGAUACUUAAGCUGUGAUUCCUGUAUUGCAGGGGGUUGGGCCACAGGGCCCUUUUGGUCCAUUCCAACUCUACAAUUCUAUGAUUCUAAGAGAUGUAAAAAUAGAAUUCUUAAGAAAUGAGGUCGGGAGGCAACAUUACCCAAACACUCUAUUCUAUUGUAACUUCAAUGGCUUUUGUAUGAAUUCAUUCUACAGCUGCUGCUCUCAAUGUGCAGAUGAAGGACAAAGAGAUAAAACCACUGAUCCAGCUUGUGAUCAUCUCAUUGAAGAACAAACGAACAGGAGAGGAAAAGAAUUCCUUCCUCCUUGGGACAAUGGGGAAACAAACUCAAUAAAGGCAGGAGUGUAAGGAAAACACGUAAGGACAAAAUUGGUUUAAGGGAAGGAAAUGAUGGAAGAAAAUAUGCCGCAAUGUCUUAAUAUUUUGGCAUUCACAAGCUAUUGCCAAAUAUCACCAAGUGGUAGGAGUCACGGGAAGCUGCUUUAUACCAACAAGAUACAAGCCAGAUGUUUUGGACUGCAACUCCCAUCAGCUCCAGGCAGCAUAGCCAGUGGACAGGAAUGAUGGGGGAUGUAGUUGGUAACAUCUGGAAGGCACCAUGUUGGCUACCCAUAACCUAUAGAGAGUACCAGAGCAUCUCCAGGAUUUCAGCCCCCAUCCCUACCUAGAGAGAUUAGGGGUUGAACCUUGUGCAUGCAGUGCAGAUGUUCUACCACCAAGCUUUAGCCCUUCCUACUGUGGGAUACAUCAGCCUCAUAUAACCAACAUGCUUAACUCUAUUUAAUGCAUGAAGGGGUUAAGACCAUAGAGUAAGGUGUCCUGCCAGGCUUAGUUAGGUCACUCCCCCUCACCUUGGGAGGAAGGGCUACCAAACUCUUUGUUCUCUCACUUUCCACUCUUCCACCAUACCUACCUACCAGUAAGAAGGUCUAAGCUGGAUGCUCCAAUUUUGGACUGUGUGGCUUAAAGAAGCCAUCUUUGUGUCUCUAUGCAAACAAUUUAGAAACUCUUACCAUUUGGGAACCUAAGUUAGGCUGCCUGUCUUUUCUUGCUGCUGUGUGGGAAAGCACAUGAAUCUGACGUUUGAAGAGUUUGUAAGUAAGAAAUUCCGACGAAGGAAGAAUGGCAGACUAAAUUAAUGGACUAUGCAGAAUUGGACAAAAUGACAGGAAGGAUUCGAAACCUGUGGGACCAGAGAUUUACAGAAGAUUGGGAGAAGUAUAUGAAUUAUUUGAAGAGCAACUGUAAUCAACAAAUUACGCUAGUAGGACUACAAGAAGUUUUGUAAGGAGAAAUAUACGAAGUGUUACAAAGUAGAAAAAGAUAGAGAUAUUGGUUAUGAGUUUGAAAUGUAAUAUGGAAGAUAAGAAAUGCAUACUGAGAGAUUAGAUUGGAAAAUUUUCAGACAGGAUUGAUGGAAG